AAUGCUGUCAGGAGCCAACAUGACACCCUUCAGUCCUGCAUCUUCUGUGGUCCCAGAUACUGCACACAACAGACGGAUCAGCAGCUCACUCUCAGGAACAGGGCUGCCAAUCCCCUAGAAUACACAAGCAAGUCCCAGCAAUGCUGGACCCUUUCCCUUCUCAGCUGAUCACUUGUUUCCAAGGCCCUUAUUUCCUGGGGCACAUGGCCUAUUACAUCCUCCCGAUGCCAGUUGCCGUGUCAGCCACGUUCUCUGACGGAAACAGUAGAAACGGACUGGGAUCAUGUCAGCAGAUGGAAGGGAGGAAGGGAGGAAGGGGGAGAAGGGAUCAUUAUUGCCAGGUGAUACAGAAGAGGGCUGAGCCGCCAGCCUUGAGAAGGGAGAAUCAUGCAGCCCUGGACUCUAGGGGUGAUUCAGGGAAAGCUGACUCAGCCCAAACACCUUCAGUCCCAGAGACAAAUUCCUGGAAGACUGGGGCAAGAGCCAACCUGAACAAGAAUGGAGGUGGAAAGGGUGGGAAGGAGGGAAGCUGUGAGCUACCUGAAGUGGGGCAUGGGGCCCCCCAGAGGGUGGGAUGCUAUGAAAGUGAAAACAUGCCUACACACCCUGCCUCAUUUAUCUAUUACUGCAUGACCCAGGCCCCCCAAAAUUGUUGUCUUAAAACCAUUACCAUCUGUGUCAUGAGUCUGUGGGGCGAGUUGGGUGGUCCUUCUGCCUCCCCUAGUCUAGCUGUGUCUGCAGUCACUGGGGGCUGGCCCGGGCUGGCCUAUCCUCCAGGCUCAUGUCCAGGCCACGGUGGGUGCCUGCUAUCAGCUGAGACUGUCAGUUGGAGCAUCUCCACCUCCCCUCAUAGGACCUCUCCAUGCACCACGGGCAUCUCAGCAUAGAGAGACCUCCCCACGCACCACGGGCAUCUCAGCAUAGAGAGACCUCCCCACGCACCACGGGCAUCUCAGCAUAGAGCGACCUCCCCACGCACCACGGGCAUCUCAGCAUAGAGUGACCUCCCCACGCACCACGGGCAUCUCAGCAUGGAGCGACCUCCCCAAGCACCACGGGCAUCUCAGCAUGGAGCGACCUCCCCACGCACCAUGGGCAUCUCAGCAUGGAGCUGGAGCAGAAGACAGGACAUUCGAUGGUGCAAGUGGAAGCUGCAUACAGGUCAAGAGCCAGCCUGGGAGGUCCCCAUGUCCCUCUGCCUCAUCCUGUUGACCACAGCUAAUCAUGGACUCACCCAAAUUUCAUAGGAGAGGGAACAGCCUCCACUUCUAGGUGGGAGCAGCCGAGAGGCCAUGCCUUCUUUAACCAGCACCCUCCUCUUCCUCCUUUCUAUUCCUCCCUCUCCAUUCUCUCUGCUUUCUCCAGUGCCAUCCACUGUCCACACUUGGCCCCGAGCAAGGGCAAGCAGAUAAAGACCCCUGAGAUCAGUGGUGAGAGGACUCACGCAUAUCCAGGACCUCUUUGGGGAAGGAGGACCCAAAGCUACAAAAUCCUAGGAAUGGCAGGAGGCGCGGGGAGAGGCAAGGGAGUGGAGAGUCCUGGCAAGCCCCCAGCACACACCCUGGGAUUAGGGAGGCUCCCAGCCAGCAAGAGGAAGCUUGACCCGGGGGAGCUGUCCCCUGAGCCCCAGCAGCCUCGCUGAGGCAGAGCCACGAGGCAUGUGGGCGUGCCAGGAAGUCCCCCUCACUUGAGGGCUCAGGUCCUGCAGGCCCAGAGCCUGCUGGGGGCAAGGGCCAGAUCCUUGGGCCUGCCUUCACGUGACUAAUUUCCUGGAGUCCUGCCAAGUACAGUCUGGGUCCAGGGCCUCUGUUAACCUUUUCUCACUCGGUUACACCUCGCUGGGCCCAAAGGUGUUGUAUUUGCCCUUUGGCUGCCAGAGACACACACCACAAGGGCUGUGGACCAAUGUCCUUUCCUCCAACCCCUCUCCACUGCCUCGUGACUGCAAAACACCCAUUCCUCCCUUGGGAGGGUGGGGACUCUGGCUGAUGGCUCAGCCCCACAUUCAGGGCAAAGGACAGUUGGGGAGGACCGAGCUGUCCACCCCCAGGUCUCCCACCGGACAGUGACCAACACCUGCUAAAUCCCUGAGGCUCCCUUCCUCCACUCCUCCUCAACCAUCUCAUAGAUUUUGGCAGCUGCCUCGCUCUCUCUGCCUCCACCUAGUACCCUCUCCCUCCAUCUCUCACCCCUUCCUAUCUUCCUCUCUCCCUCCUCCCACAAGGUCUCCCUGGGCACCUUCCAGGCGCAGGUGCUGCACCCCUAGAAAUGACCAGGGCUCAGUCCCUGAGCUGACGUCGCCCCUCCCAACCCUGCAGUCCAGGGGAGAGACAGAGCCAGCUGGCAAAGCCCUCAGCAAGUGGCAGCAAGACCCCCAGAAGACACUGCCAAGUGCUGGAAGAUGGUGGACCUUUCCAUCUGGAGAAAAGCUAUGAUAAAUAAAAAUAAAUAUUACUCAUCAAUAAAAAGAAAUGAGCUACCAAGCCACAAAAAGACAUGGAGCAACCUCAAAUGCAUAUUGCUAAUCUAAUUGGAAGAAGCCAGUCUGAAAAGGCUGCAUACUGUACAAUUCCAACUCUAUGACAUUCUGCAAAAGGCAAAACUAUAGAAACAGUAAGAUCAGUGGUUGCUGCGGGGGUUCGGGAUGAAUAGGUGGAGCACAGAGGAGUUUUAGGGCAGAGACACUAUUCUGUAGGAUCCUGUAAUGGUGGAUACCUCGCAUUAUUUCUGCAAACCCAUAGGAUGUACAACACCACUAGUGAACUCUAAUGUAAAUUAUGCACUUUAGUUCGUAAUAGUGUGUCAAUAUUGGUUAAUCAGUGGUAACAAACGUACUAUCCUCAUGCAAGAUGUCAAUAGGGGAAACUGGUGGGGAGGUGGGGGUGGAGGUAGCGAGGUCACUGCAAACUUGUUCAUUCUGUGCAAUUCUGUAAAUGCAAACCUGCUCUAAAACAGAAAGUCUAUUUUUUUUAAAUGGUACACAAAAUAAUAACAACGGGGCAUUUCUUGAGAUCUCUAGGGAACAUGUCGCCCUCUUGCCCACGCAUUUCAUGUUGGAUCCAGAAUGCAGCAGCAGCACUUUUCACAACUGCCAAAAACUAUGGCAAGCUCAAAUGUCCAUGCACUGAUGAAAGGAAUACCAAGAUGUAGAAUAUCCAAUAAUGGAAUAUUAUUCAGCCAUAAAAAGGAAUGAAGUAUUGAUCCACUAAAAACAUGGAUGAACUUUGAAAACAUGAUGCUAUGUGAAAGCAGCCAAUCACAAAAGCUCA
rnacentral:lncRNA from 1 species